rnacentral:rRNA from 1 species
GGCGGUUGGUUACCCGGCGUUUUUCGCCGGCGCAUUCUGCCGUCGCCAGGCCAGCAUCAGUUAGGAUCGAGGCCCACUGCCAGCGGGAACGUGGCUCUUUCGGGAGUGUUAUAGCCCGUUGGUAACGUCUCGGACCGGACUGAGGACCGCGCUUCGGCUCGGAUGCUGGCGUAAUGGCCUCUAGCGACCCGUCUUGAAACACGGACCAAGGAGUUGACCUAGCGUGCGAGUGUUUGGGUGUCAAGCCCUUACGCGCAGUGAAAGCGAAUGCAGGUGGGAGCUUCGGCGCACCAUCGACCGAUCUUGAAGUUUACGGAUGGAUUUGAGUAAGAGCACGUUGGGUCUGACCCGAAAGAAGGUGAACUAUGCAUGAAUAGGGUGAAGCCAGAGGAAACUCUGGUGGAGGCUCGCAGCGGUUCUGACGUGCAAAUCGAUCGUCAAAUUUGUGCAUGGGGGCGAAAGACCAAUCGAACCUUCUAGUAGCUGGUUCCUGCCGAAGUUUCCCUCAGGAUAGCAGAGUUGAUCCUCAGUUUCAUGAGGUAAAGCGAAUGAUUAGAGACUCGGGGGCGCUAUAUUGCCUUCAUCUAUUCUCAAACUUUAAAUAUGUGAGAAGCCUCGUGUUACUUCGGUGAACGCAGGCCUUUGAAUGAAUCAACUCUAGUGGGCCAUUUUUGGUAAGCAGAACUGGCGAUGUGGGAUGAACCAUACGGGGAUUUAAGGUGCCGGAGUGGACGCUCAUCAGACACCACAAAAGGUGUUAGCACAUCUUGACAGCAGGACGGUGGCCAUGGAAGUCGGAACCCGCUAAGGACUGUGUAACAACUCACCUGCCGAAUGUGCUAGCCCUGAAAAUGGAUGGCGCUAAGCGUCCCACCUAUAAUCCCCCCUCGGGGUAGGAACGUCGCCCCGAGGAGUAGGCAGGCGCGGGGGUCCGUGACGAAG